UAGGGAAUCUUCCACAAUGGACGCAAGUCUGAUGGAGCAACGCCGCGUGAGUGAAGAAGGUUUUCGGACCGUAAAGCUCUGUUGUUGGUGAAGAAGGAUAGAGGUAGUAACUGGCCUUUAUUUGACGGUAAUCAACCAGAAAGUCACGGCUAACUACGUGCCAGCAGCCGCGGUAAUACGUAGGUGGCAAGCGUUGUCCGGAUUUAUUGGGCGUAAAGCGAGCGCAGGCGGAAGAAUAAGUCUGAUGUGAAAGCCCUCGGCUUAACCGAGGAAUUGCAUCGGAAACUGUUUUCUUGAGUGCAGAAGAGGAGAGUAGAACUCCAUGUGUAGCGGUGGAAUGCGUAGAUAUAUGGAAGAAUACCAGUGGCGAAGGCGGCUCUCUGGUCUGCAACUGACGCUGAGGCUCGAAAGCAUGGGUAGCGAACAGGAUUAGAUACCCUUGGUAGUCCAUGCCGUAAACGAUGAGUGCUAAGUGUUGGGAGGCUUCCGCCUCUCAGUGCUGCAGCUAACGCAUUAAGCACUCCGCCUGGGGGAGU
rnacentral:rRNA from 1 species